rnacentral:rRNA from 1 species
UACGGAGGGAGCUAGCGUUGUUCGGAAUUACUGGGCGUAAAGCGCACGUAGGCGGCUUUGUAAGUUAGAGGUGAAAGCCUGGGGCUCAACCCCAGAAUUGCCUUUAAGACUGCAUCGCUUGAAUCCAGGAGAGGUGAGUGGAAUUCCGAGUGUAGAGGUGAAAUUCGUAGAUAUUCGGAAGAACACCAGUGGCGAAGGCGGCUCACUGGACUGGUAUUGACGCUGAGGUGCGAAAGCUGAGGGGAGCAAACAGGGAUUAGAAUCGACCCAGUACGUCCAAGACCAAGCU